rnacentral:rRNA from 1 species
GACGAACGCUGACGGCGUGCUUAACACAUGCAAGUCGAACGAGUGGCGAACGGGUGAGUAACGCAUCGGAACGUCCCGAGUAAUGGGGGAUAACUGUCCGAAAGGACAGCUAAUACCGCAUAUUUUUCGAGCGGCCGAUGUCUGAUUAGCUGGUUGGCGGGGUAAAGGCCCACCACGGCGACGAUCAGUAGCGGGUCUGAGAGGAUGAUCCGCCACACUGGGACUGAGACACGGCCCAGACUCCUACGGGAGGCAGCAGUGGGGAAUUUUGGACAAUGGGCGCAAGCCUGAUCCAGCCAUGCCGCGUGUCUGAAGAAGGCCUUCGGGUUGUAAAGGACUUUUGUCAGGGAAGCGGUACCUGAAGAAUAAGCACCGGCUAACUACGUGCCAGCAGCCGCGGUAAUUC